rnacentral:lncRNA from 1 species
GUAGUAUACCUUCUUCGGUGGUGGUGGUGAGUAGACGGGAGGUGGGUAGUACACCUUCUUCGGUGGUGGUGGUGAGUAGACGGGAGGUGGGUAGUACACCUUCUUCGGUGGUGGUGGUGAGUAGACGGGAGGUGGGUAGUAUACCUUCUUUGGCGGUGGUGGUGAGUAGACUGGUGGUGGGUAGUAUACUUUCUUUGGUGGUGGAGGAGACUUAUAGACGGGUGGUGGAUAGUAUACCUUCUUGGGAGGUGGGGGAGACUUGUAGACUGGAGGUGGGUAGUAUACCUUCUUUGGUGGUGGAGGAGACUUAUAGACGGGAGGAGGGUAGUAUACCUUCUUGGGAGGUGGGGGAGACUUGUAGACGGGAGGUGGGUAGUACACCUUCUUGGGAGGUGGGGGAGACUUGUAGACGGGAGGUGGGUAGUACACCUUCUUGGGAGGCGGGGGAGACUUGUAGACGGGAGGUGGGUAAUACACCUUCUUAGGUGGCGGAGGAGACUUGUAGACGGGAG